rnacentral:rRNA from 1 species
AGUCGAACGGCAGCACGGACUUCGGUCUGGUGGCGAGUGGCGAACGGGUGACCGUAUCGGAACGUGCCCUGAAAGUAGCGGGGGAUAACUACGAAAGCCGUAGCUAAUACCGCAUACGCCCUUCUCGGGGGAAAGCAGAGGCCUUCGGGCCUCGCACUAUUAGAGCGGCCGAUAUCCGGAUUAGCUAGUUGGUGGGGUAACGGCUCACCAAGGCGACGAUCCGUAGCUGGUUUGAAGGACGACCAGCCACACUGGGACUGAGACACGGCCCAGACUCCUACGGGAGGCAGCAGUGGGGAAUUUUGGACAAUGGAAACCCUGAUCCAGCCAUCCCGCGUGUGCGAUGAAGGCCUUCAGGUUGUAAGCACUUUGGCAGGAAAGAAACGGCACGAGAUAAUACCCCGUGCAACUGGCGGUACCUGCAGAAUAAGCACCGGCUAACUACGUGCCAGCAGCCGCGGUAAUACGUAGAGGUGCGGCGUUAAUCGGAAUUACUGGGCAUAAAGCGUGCGCAGGCGGUUCCGGAAAGAAAGAUGUGAAAUCCCAGAGCUUAACUUUGGAACUGCAUUUUUAACUACCGAGCUAGAGUGUGUCAGAGGGAGGUGGAAUUCCGCGUGUAGCAGUGAAAUGCGUAGAUAUGCGGAGGAGGAACACCGAUAGCGAAGGCGGCCUCUCCUGGGAUAACACUGACGCUCAUGCACGAAAAGCGUGGGAGCAAACAGGAUUAGAUACCCUGGUAGUCCCGCCUAAACGAUGUCAACUAGCUAUUUGGGGCCUUCGGACGCUGGUAGCGCAGCUAACGCGUGAAGUUGACCGCCGGGAAGUACGGUCGCAAGAUUAAAACUCAAAGGAAUUGACGGGGACCCGCACAAGCGGUGGAUGAUGUGGAUUAAUUCGAUGCAACGCGAAAGCCUUACCCACCCUUGACAUGUCUGGAAUCCCGAAGAGAUUUGGGAGUGCUCGCAAGAGAACGGAACACAGGUGCUGCAUGGCUGUCGUCAGCUCGUGUCGUGAGAUGUUGGGUUAGAGAUCCUGGCAGGCGCAACCCUUGUCGUGGAUUGCUACGAAAGGGCACUCUAAUGAGACUGCCGGUGACAAACCGGAGAAGGUGGGGAUGACGUCGAGUCCUCAUGGCCUUAUGGGUAGGGCUUCACACGUCAUACAAUGGUCGGGACAGAGGGUCGCCAACCCGCGAGGAGCCAAUCCCGGCUCCGAUCGUAGUCCGGAUCGCAGUCUGCAACUCGACUGCGUGAAGUCGGAAUCGCUAGUAAUCGCGGAUCAGCAUGUCGCGGUGAAUACGUUCCCGGGUCUUGUACACACCCGUCACACCAUGGGAGUGGGUUUUACCAGAAGUAGUUAGCCUAACCGUAAGGAGGGCGAUUACCACGGUAGGAUUCAUGACUGGGGUGAAGUCGUAACAAGGUA